UUGAUCCCCGGUACCAAAAAAAAAAAAAAUUAGAAUGAAGUCUAUGCAGUCAUCAAACCAGAUGAGGCAUCCCCUGGCACAUUUCCAAAUUUUACAAGGAUUUAAGUGAAAAUGGGGAUAGACAUAUGUGUGCACAGUGUGCUACUUUAAGUGAAAAAAAUAUAUAUAUACCAUACAUAUAUGUUUGUGCCUAGGGCAUCCCUGGCCGAGGGUAUCUCAGGAAAGGAUCACAAGAAACUGGGUCCUCUGACCCUCUGGGCUUGGCAAGUGGAGGUGAGGGGUCAUCUCUGACCCUUUUCCACUUCUAAAUCAUGUGCUAUGUGCAUCCAUUUCCUAUCAAUAACAAUUUUGCAGGCAAAGCCUUAGAGAAGGUACCUGGGUAUGGUAAAUCUUCCAGCCCCUCCAAACACAGAGGCAGAGAUGAAAGUGUUAGCACUCUGGGCUUAUAAAACAAGUAGCCCUUGUCCCUACCCCUCCUCUUGCCUGAGUAUAAAGGGCUUUUUAUAAAGAGCUUUCCUGUAAACGGUUUCCAGUUAACAGCACACCUGGUCCAGAACAAAUUACUUAACUCACACAGAGCCUCUGCCCUGCAGCCAAACUCUGGCACCUGAGCUUCCCUGGCAGCACUGGCUGAGUUCUUGGCAUGGGUGGGGAGAUGUUUAAGCAGAAAUGCUUCCAGGGAUGGGAGUAAGGCUAAAUCAGAGGAAGGAUUCCAAGUUCUGAGUCCUGCUCUGCCCUCAAAGAAGCAAAGCAAGGGCCAAGAGGCAGGCUUCUCUGGGUCCUGCAAAAGACAGUGACAGCACAGGCCUUUGGAAAUUUGAGUUUGGUUUUAUUUAACUGCAUAAUUAACCUGUGUAUAAAACUCUUCUCAUUCAUUCUCUCGCCAUGGUAUUAAUCCUAAAAAACACUCUAGUGAGGUUCAGGGCAGUGUAACCAUUUUUGCAGAUGAGGAAAUGGAGGUGUGGGGAAGUAGAGAUCAGCCAGUGCUUACACACCAAGGGAAGAGGUGAAGCCUGAAGUGGAACCCCCAGCUGCCCACCCAGAAGCCUCGGCCUUUCCUUUCAACUCUGACAUCUGAGAGAGGUCAUCACAGGCUAGAUAGGGCAGGCAAAGAAACCCUGGGAACUAAAAGGACCAAUGAGACCAUCUAGCGCAGCAGUUUUCAAUUCUGAUUGCACACUAGAAUUACCUGGGAAGCUUAAGUAAAUUUGAAUAAAUACUUAGGGCAGGGUACAGGAAUGUGUAGUGUUUUUUAAAACUCUCUGAUUCUGAUGCAACUGUCCAUGAGAAGCACUGAAUUAUAGCUCCCGGCACCCAUCCCAGUCCCAUACACAGUACAACCUUUGGCCUUCCUGCAGCCUCCACCAGGGGUCCCUGUGCCAUCCUCCAGCCUCCAAAUGGACUGCUUGCUCAUUUCUUACUCCACAUUACCUGGAGGCAGAGAGUUGGACUGGAAGCCUGUUAAGAGUCUUCUAGGUGGAAAAGUCACUUAACAGUUCUGAGGCCCAAAACAGAGGCGUGACUUGGCUAAGAUAACCCAGUGGAUCAGUAACCCAGCGAAUCAGGAUUUCCUGACCACCAGCUGGGGUCACACCCACAAAGGGAUUGUCUGAGGCCAGUCCCUUGGGAAAUGCAGCUGCUCCAGACACCAGAAGAGAUCCAUCGAGGGGCUGAGGAGGAAACCGGGAUGGAGUGUGUGUUUCAGGGGACACAGGGUAUCAGUGACACCCUGGGAGCCUCUGAAAGUCCACCUUUGUGGCACACCGGCACAGAGGGCUAUUCUGUAGGGACGGGGUGGAGCUGGCCUGCAGAAAGAUGUCCUUAUUCCUAGACUAAGGCCAGAGAGUCUAAAAUGCCCUUAUAGAAACAGAGACUCUUGGGGCAGCUUAUCCUACAUGGUUCUGGAUUACCCACCCAUAAUACUGGGUCAAAUUUCUCGAGGUCUUCGCUGGUCCCUAUGCUAAGCACUGUACUCGGCCUAAUCAUUUAAUCUCCACUUGUGCCCUAAAAGGUGAAAAUAAUUUUUGUCUCCAUUUUCAGUUGAGGAAACUACAGCCAGGAAACAUGAAAGACCUUCCCCAAGAUCCCUCAGUGAGAAAGUGGUAGCCGCAAGAUUCAAAGCUUAGUGCAUCCAGGUCCAACUACUAGCAACUCACUCCUCAACGUGGGAGGAGAGGACAAUCCAGUAACAGCGGAAAUAGUAACUGGACACCUAGGAGUGGCCAGAGACAUGGUCUAGUGGAGUCCUCCACCCUACAGAGAAAGCACAGGCAUCCUUCUUCCACCACGACAGAGGAAACCAAGACGCAGAGGGAGCAUCUUGCCCAGUAGCGGGACCAGACCCGGAACCAGGCAGUCCCCAUCACAAAGCCAGGCCGCUUCGUUGCAGGUUGGCAGGGAAGCAAACAGCAACAACUUGUAGGGGCUGGGGCGCGGCCAGCACCGUAACCACCUCCUGCCCAGUCCGCCAGCCCAAGCGCAAGGACCACCCCGCACCCCGCGAGCUCCACACAGGCUGAUCAACCAUCCUGGUUUGUGGGGAACAGGGAAAGGGGACUUUACUAGAACCUCUGCAUUAAGUCCUGGUCUCCUGUGAGCCACGGCAGCACACGGCGAAUUACAAGAAAGGUAGAAAAAUGAGACUGAGAAGAAGCUGAGCUUUGGGUCUGAUCAGUGCUGCUCUGGGAGGCAAAGACCCCCUAGCUUGCCGCACCUUUUAUCGCGUACAUCAGGAGAAACAAAUGUAACAAAUAAAACGCAGAGUUCAGUACUUUACAUUGGGAUAAACAAAGUGUAAAAAGACUAGGAGGCAGUGGAAAUCUAAGAACAAUGAGGAACUAUGCAGAUGAAAAUUCGGUUCCUCCCUGGCAUCUCCCAAAGGUGUGGUCUUGUCCUGGAGAUUACAGCAUCAUGGGAUCACUGAGGUCUCAAUAGUGAUGGGAGGCCAAAAUGGAAUUCUGUCUGGAAUGCCAUAGCUGACCUGUAGGCUGAAGAACUAGGCCUAAUCAAAGGAUUCUUCCCUAAAAUUAUGUAGCAUAGCUCCCAACACUGGUUCACCCAGGACAGGGCUGGUUCUAGGGCCUUGGGAGUUCCCAUUUCUGAAACCAUACAAUCUCAAGCACACCGUGACAGUUUGCCUGGGACUGAGGGGUUCCUGGCCACAGGACUUUGGAGGCCCACACCAGGAGCAAAAGCAGGACAAUUUGGUCACCUUGGUCCAUUGCAUCCUUCCAGCCUCUCAGAACAAGUAGCCCAUGGUGAGGGGCUCAGGCCUAUACCCUCACUGUGAGGCAGGAAAUUAGGGUGUAGCAAAGCAGCUAGGCAAGUGGAUGUGACCUGUCAAUCACAGAGAUCCAGGAUACAUGAGGCCAAGCCCUGCACCUGGGACCAAUCAGAAAAUGCUAUCUUCAAUUCCUCUGGCCUGAGAUCAAGCAAGUUUUUCAUGGGACUGCCUAGAUCUGACUUCAGCCUGAGGGAUAAAGGAUACAAAAGACAUCUGCCAUUAACUUCAUGGUCCCUGUGACUUUCUUAGCAGCUGCUCCCACUCUGCAGGGUGUACUUCUUUUCCUAACUUUAAUAAAUGCAAACCCUCACUA